rnacentral:antisense_RNA from 1 species
UCUCACAUGAGGUCCCGGCGAGAAGGACCUGCCUCCAUCAGAUUCACACUCGGGAGAGGGGCCCGGCCUCCAGGAGCGCCAGGCAGAGGAGAGGGCACCCAUUAGGAAGAAGAACACAGAGGCCAUGGGAGUGAAAAGUUUGAUGCUGGAAAGCAAUAGUAGCACAUUCUGCUACAGAGCGGAAUGAAAAACCCUGGAGAGCAAAUUCCUGAGCCAGAGAAUGGAGCGGAGGAACCAGCCAAGGAGGAUAAAGAGAACUGUGUGCUCUGAGGCUGCCCGACCCUGAGCUCCAGAACAGACCAUCGAGUUCAGGAGACAAGCAUGUCAGCCAUGACACAAGGCAGAUGAGAGGGACCCAGCGUCCACACGUGGAGGCAGCAGGGGCAGCCGAUCCAUACAAACAGGCCGACCAUCAGGGCUGGUCCCAGGCCACCAGGCCGGGUGCAAUGCAGAAAUGGAGAUCUGCCCCGGGGAAGGCA